ensembl:lncRNA
GGGCACUGGCAUAGGCUACUUUUUACUUUCUCUUAUCGGUACAGGUAGCCUAGUCCUCAAGAGAAACGUCUUCAGUGUAAAAAUUGCCUCAGGGGUGCAUGAGUCAUUGAGCGAAUAAGAAGCAGCUGGUUUGAAACGAGAGAACCCCAGAAUUUGUGAAUAAAACACGUGGUUCGGGAGCUCGAACAUUUGAUUGGCUGGAUUUUGGUGCAGUCUGAUAGAAGUGUCAUUGUGACGGAAGGCUGCAGAACCGGGCCAUAGGAAUUCUGCGGGCGCAUUCCGCUCUGUCUCUAUGACAACGGCUAUAUUAGUAAAAGGGUCUGAUCCGGAUCGAGCGUGGGCUAAGAAACGCGAAUAUGGUGAAGCAGUGAGGCUGCAGAUGAGCCGUAGCAACCACGGACGGAUGCAGCCGUAGGAAUGCGGUUGCCGUGGAAACGCCAGCAGCGGGAAGCGAGAUCCAGGGACCACAGAAAGGAUGAAGCCGACAAUUAAUAUUUAACACUGUUUCCUUUCUAUUUUUGCCAGAGAUGACUGUCAAACCUUUGGUGGGAAUGUGGGAUUAGUCGCUAGAGAAUGCCAUUAUAAAGAAGCCUGAAUACUAAUGAAUUCAGAAGGUAUGGGC